CAGUUAUUGACUAGUACGGCGAGUGAGCGGCACAGCUCAAAUUUGAAAUCUGGCUCUUUUAGAGUCCGAGUUGUAAGUUGCAGAGGGCGCUUUGGCUUUGGCAGCGGUCCAAGUUCCUUGGAACAGGACGUCACAGAGGGUGAGAAUCCCGUACGUGGUCGCUGGCUAUUGCCGUGUAAAGCCCCUUCGACGAGUCGAGUUGUUUGGGAAUGCAGCUCUAAAUGGGAGGUACAUUUCUUCUAAAGCUAAAUAUUGGCCAGAGACCGAUAGCGCACAAGUAGAGUGAUCGAAAGAUGAAAAGCACUUUGGAAAGAGAGUCAAACAGCACGUGAAAUUGUUGAAAGGGAAGCGCUUGCAGCCAGACUUGCUUACAGUUGCUCAUCCGGGUUUCUACCCGGUGCACUCUUCUGUAGGCAGGCCAGCAUCAGUUUGGGCGGUAGGAUAAAGGUCUCUGUCACGUACCUCCUUUCGGGGAGGCCUUAUAGGGGAGACGACAUACUACCAGCCUGGACUGAGGUCCGCGCAUCUGCUAGGAUGCUGGCGUAAUGGCUGUAAGCGGCCCGUCUUGAACCC
rnacentral:rRNA from 1 species